GCCUGGGUAGCUCAGUUGGUUAAGUGUCUGACUCUUGAUUUUGGAUCAGGUCCUGGUCUCCAAGUUGUGGGAUCAAGCCCUACCUCAGGCU
rnacentral:tRNA from 1 species